GCUACAAUAUGCAUGGUUUUCCAUGGGCUUUUGAUUAUCUGUGACAUUUCAAAACUAUAAGUUGUUUCAUUAGAAUAUUGGUGGGUUGGUUUUUACAAAUGUCUUCAUCUGUGUGCAUAACUUACAUAGGUAAAUACUAAGAGGGCACUGAAGUAAAAACUAACAUUUAUCAUCUGACCAAGGAACGCGCAGGAAACCUAAUCCACUAUCCAGGCUGGAGUGCAAUGGCAGCGUGAUCUUGGCUCACUGCAACCUCUGCCUCCUGGGUUUGAGCAAUUCUCCUGCCUCAGCCUCUCGAGUAGCUGGGAUUACAGGCAUGUGCCACCAUGCCUAGCUAAUUUUGUAUUUUUAGUAGAGACGGGGUUUUGUCAUGUUGGCCAGGCUGGUCUUGAACUCCUGACCUCAGCUGAUCCGCCUGCUUUGGCCUCCCAAAAUGCUGGGAUUACAGGUGUGAGCCACCACGCCCAGACUGCUUCUUGCAUUUCUAUGAAGAGAACCAACUGGCAAAUAUUUCCUGAGUUCCCAUCACAAGCACUGAGCUGGGUACUAGAGCUGGAGGUUCCUGGAGCUGGGAACCUCAGGAUGGGUAUGAACAUAAAAAAUGGAAGGGAGGGAGGGGGCAGGAUGAAGUAGGGAGGACGUGUAACAGAUCAACGUAACGAGAGUCAUGGCACUGAGCUGGAGAGUGCAAGGGCCCACAGGCAGGGUCAAGUCUGCCAGGGAAGUGCAGGGAGGAGGCCUCCUGGAGGAGGUGGUGCCCAAGCUGCAUCUUCAAAAAUGGGCAGGCGGGCCCCGGCAAACAGGGAGGCCCGGCGUUCCAGAAAAGGGAGCAGGGUGAACAGGGGCACUGAGGCAAGGCUCAGCUGUGCAUAGUGAUCGGGAGCUGGCUGGGGAUAAGAAUGGUCAAGGGCACAGAGGUGUGAUGACCAGGGCAAGGCAAGGAAUGAAUGUGAUGAGUUUCCACAGAGGUUCCCUAUGGGAAGGCCUCAUCUGCUGUUGAGCAGUAUGGCCUUUCUGUAGGUGAUGGGGAGCCCCUCAGGGCUUAAGCUAGGUGGUAGCCGGCUCAGUUCUGCUGUGAAAGAAUGCUCACUCUAGCUGCAACAUGGAGAGGCAGGCAUAGGGAGGUGGAGGUUACAAUGAAGCUGAAAGACAGGAGGAUCGCUUGAACCCAGGAGGCGGAGGUCGCAGUGACCUGAGAUGGUGCCACUACACUCCAGCCUGGGCAACAGAGCACCAGCUCAAAAAAAAAAAAAAAGAAAGAUAUAUUAGCUACAAUGUUUAGUCUUCUCUCUAGCUAGUGUCAGGACAAUCCACAACUGUAACUGGUCAUUCCUUACAUGUGACUUGUGAUUGUCCUUCCUGGCCCUUUAUCCCUGAAGGGUGUCCUGUCUCAUAACCAGAAAGUUCAGCAGGGGCCCCAUGUCCUGGGUUUGCUGUACCCAUAGUCUCCAUAGUCUCUCACAGAUGGCCUUGGAGAUUACCAAAUGGAGGGCGGUUCUAGCCUCCCUGCUCCCUGGCCCAGUUAAGCUAUUUCAGAUCUUUGGACAAAAUCUCACUUUUGUCCUUUUUCCUUUUUCACCCUCUUGAUAAAAUAUCCCACAGCCAUAUGGGAAAUGGAAGUAGAAUUGCCGGGAAGCAACCAGGAAGGAAGUAGUGGUGGCGCAUGCCUGUAAUCCCAGAUACUCAAGAGGCUGAGGCAGGAAACGGAAGUAAAAUUGCCGGGAAGCAACCAGGAAGGGCUGUGGCAGCUGCCAGGCAAAGGUCUGAACUCUGCCAGGGGCUUUGAGGCUGGGAAUGCUGAGUAGGGAGGCAGAAUGUGCACGCUGUGGUUCCCGAAUGAAUGGCUCUGAGGGAGGAAGGCAUCUUGGAUGAUCCCAGGUUUUGGGAUUGGGUGAGGCAGGAUAGGUGGCGGUGCUACUCACAAAGAGGAAAGGCAAGGAGAGGCAGUCAGGGGACAUGCUGAGUUUGAGAUUCCAGGAACAACUUCAGCAGGUGAGUAGGUGGCAGGAAGAAGCCAAGAGAGACUUGAAAUCAAGACAGGAAAGAGCUGAUGGGGCAAGGUCCUGAUCCUGGAGAAGUGGAGGGGAAGCUCCGGGUGGAGGUUACUAUGAAGCUGAAAGCAUAGCUCCAGGCUGAGCGUAGAGGUGAGAGGCUGAGGGAGCGCAGAGAGUUUGUUGGCCUGGAGGUGGGAAACAGCGGGAGUUCACACCUGACGGGUUCAGGGUUCUCAGAUGUGAGCUGAGCCUGGGAGCUGACAUUCUGAGAAUGGCCAAAGGGUACACAGCCAUUGUGGGGACUGGGAAAGGGAAGUGACGAAAGUCAGGUAAAAGACUUGCAGAGGUGGACCAGAGGGCCACGUUGAGGGUGAAGCAAUUGUGUUUUUGGUUAUGUUUUGCUUUUUUUUUUUUUCUCUUUUUCUUUUCCUUUUGAAGACAGAAUCUUGCUCUCUCACCCAGGUUGGAGUGCAGCGGGGCGACCUCGGCUCACUGCAACCCCUGCCUCCCGGGUUCAAGCGAUUCUCCUGUCUCAGCCUCCAGAGUAGCUGGAACUACAGGCGCCUGCCACCACGCCCAGCUACUUUUUGUAUUUUUUGUAGAGAUGAGGUUUUGCCAUGUUGCCCAGGGAGGUCUCGAACUCCUGAGCUCAGGCAAGCCACCCACCUCGGCCUCCCAAAGUGUUGGGAUUGCAGGUGUGAGCCACUGUGCCAGCUCUUUUUACCAUUUAUUGUAGACUUUUUUUUUUUUGAGAUGGAGUCUUGCUCUGUCACCCAGGCUGCAGUGCAGUGGUGCGAUCUCGGCUCACUGCAAGCUCCGCCUCCUGGGUUCAUGCCAUUCUCCUGCCUGAGCCUCCCAAGUAGCUG
rnacentral:lncRNA from 1 species